CGGCCCUGGCCCCCGCCGCCCAGCCCCGCAGCCAGAAGAUAACAGGGACCAUGGCAGGAGCAACGUGCUGCUCAUCACAUGGCUCUGUCCUGCAGUAGCCGCCUUCACUGUGCACUUUGUGUGCUGGUUCCUAAAGAGGAUUGUAAUACAAGAAACUCGU